UUGAGCUAUAGACGGUAAAAGUGGUGGGGGGAGGAAAGUCCGGACACUCACCAGCACAUAAUUUAUGUGUUGGUAAAAGAGCAGUCCGUAACACGGACCGGGAGUAGGUUGAGUAAAGACAUCUCUAGAGAGUUUUUAUUUAAUUGAAGCCCAGGACCAGUGCAACAGAAACAAACUACCUUGUAUUAUGCGAGGCAAAGGUGAAAUCGUGAGGUAAGAGCUCACGCGUUUGAAUGGUGACAUUCAGGCGGGGUAAACUUCUGCUCGGGUGAAAGGCCAAAAUUGGUAGGCCGUUAGAAUCUGAUGGCAACAUCAGGUCUAGAUAGAUGACCGUUUAAAACAGAAUCCGGCUUAUUGCUUGCUUGGGCAU
rnacentral:RNase_P_RNA from 1 species